ACCAGACGAUGCGGUUACCGCGGCUGCUGGCACGGAGUUAGCCGGUGCUUCUUCUGUGAGUGAUGUCCUUCCUGCCGGCUAUUAACCCGCAGGCCUUCUUCCUCACUGAAAGUGCUUUACAACCCGAAGGCCUUCUUCACACACGCGGCAUGGCUGGAUCAGGGUUGCCCCCAUUGUCCAAUAUUCCCCACUGCUGCCUCCCGUAGGAGUCUGGGCCGUGUCUCAGUCCCAGUGUGGCUGAUCAUCCUCUCAGACCAGCUACGGAUCGUCGCCUUGGUGAGCCGUUACCUCACCAACCAGCUAAUCCGACAUAGGCUCAUCCGAUAGCGCGAGGCCCGAAGGUCCCCCGCUUUACCCCGUAGGGCGUAUGCGGUAUUAGCCUGGGUUUCCCCAGGUUAUCCCCACUACCGGGCAGAUUCCUAUGCAUUACUCACCCGUCCGCCGCUCGCCACCAGGGAGCAAGCUCCCCGUGCUGCCGCUCGACUUGCAUGUGUUAGGCCUGCCGCCAGCGUUCAAU
rnacentral:rRNA from 1 species